UGGGAUGUCGCCAAGCGGUAAGGCACAGGGUUUUGGUCUCUGUACCGCAGGUUCGAAUCCUGCCAUCCCAG
rfam:Acetohalobium arabaticum DSM 5501, complete genome.